GACGAACGCUGGCGGCGUGCUUAACACAUGCAAGUCGAACGAAGUGGUGAACGGGUGAGUAACGCGUAAUCAACCUGCCCUUCAGAGGGGGACAACAGUUGGAAACGACUGCUAAUACCGCAUACUGAAGGAGGGGAUUGCGUCUGAUUAGCUCGUUGGAGGGGUAACGGCCCACCAAGGCGAUGAUCAGUCGCCGGUCUGAGAGGAUGAACGGGCACAUUGGGACUGGGACACGGCCCAGAAUCCUACGGGAGGCAGCAGUGGGGAAUCUUCCGCAAUGGACGAAAGGCUGGAGGAGCAACGCCGCGGGAGUGAUGACGGCCUUCGGGGUGUAAAGCUCUGUUAAGCGGGACGCGGUACCGGAAUAGAAAGCCACGGCUAACUACGUGCCAGCCGCCGCGGUAAUUC
rnacentral:rRNA from 1 species